UGUUCUGUGGCCUAGUUGGUGAAAGCGCCGAUCUGGCGAAUACGGUGUCGUGCGUUCAAAUCCCAUCAGAAUGC
rnacentral:tRNA from 1 species